rnacentral:rRNA from 1 species
GACGAACGCUGGCGGCGUGCCUAAUACAUGCAAGUUGAGCGCUGAAGGUUGGUACUUGUACCAACUGGAUGAGCAGCGAACGGGUGAGUAACGCGUGGGGAAUCUGCCUUUGAGCGGGGGACAACAUUUGGAAACGAAUGCUAAUACCGCAUAAAAACUUUAACCACAAGUUUUAAGUUUGAAAGAUGCACUUGCAUCCCUCAAUGAUUAUCCCGCGUUGUAUUAGCUAGUUGGUGAGGUAAAGGCUCACCAAGGCGAUGAUACAUAGCCGACCUGAGAGGGUGGUCGGCCAAAAUGGGAAAGAGAAAAGGCCCAAACCCCUAAGGGAGGGAGCAGUAGGGAAUCUUCGGCAAUGGAGGAAAGGCUGAACGAGCAAAGCCGGGGGAGUGAAGAAGGGUUUCGGAUCGGAAAAAUCUGUUGGUAGAGAAGAACGAUGGUGAGAGUGGAAAGCGCAUGAAGUGACGGUAACUACUCAGAAAGGGACGGCUAACUACGUG